AUUGAACGCUGGCGGCAUGCUUUACACAUGCAAGUCGAACGGUAACAGGGAGCUUGCUCCGCUGACGAGUGGCGAACGGGUGAGUAAUGCGUCGGAACGUGCCGAGUAGUGGGGGAUAACGCAUCGAAAGGUGUGCUAAUACCGCAUACGUACUGAGGUAGAAAGUGGGGGACCUUCGGGCCUCACGCUAUUCGAGCGGCCGACGUCUGAUUAGCGAGUUGGUGGGGUAAAGGCUCACCAAGGCGACGAUCAGUAGCGGGUCGGAGGGGGUGGUCCGCCACACGGGGACUGAGACACGGCCCAGACUCCUACGGGAGGCAGCAGUGGGGAAUUUUGGACAAUGGGCGCAAGCCUGAUCCAGCCAUGCCGCGUGUCUGAAGAAGGCCUUCGGGUUGUAAAGGACUUUUGUCCGGGAGCAAAUGCUGGUGGCUAACAUCCACCGGAGCUGAGAGUACCGGAAGAAUAAGCACCGGCUAACUACGUGCCAGCCGCCGCGUAAUAC
rnacentral:rRNA from 1 species